rnacentral:sRNA from 1 species
CACAACAGGUCUGAAAAGGAGUCAGACAGAUGGCACUCUGGAUCAGGUUUCCCACAGGGAGAAGAUGGAGCAGACAUUCAGGCAUUCUAUUUCGGUGCAGGAGGAGCAGCAGAACCCUAGUUCUUCUGACUGAUGUCCUGGUUUGGGGAAACUCUGAGGACAUGAGACUUGGAUUCAGUCCAGGCUGAUGGCUCAGCACAGAGUGGGUCAGGAUUCAGUCCAGGCCUAUGGCUCAACACACAGUGGGCCAGCAUGCGGAGGGAGAGGGGACCGUGGGGGGCAGCCAGGGAUCUGCCGAAAGAUCAUACUGCAAAGUGACGGGACCAGCUCACCGAACAGCGUGGCAGUCUCUUUCCUAGUAGCUUUCUAUGUUGGUUACGUCUGUUACGGAUCCCCCCCAACAUACUUUUCCUCUAAAGCAGGAAUUGAAAUGUAGUACACGCUGCAAAUGCUGUCCUUC